GCGGCUAUAGCUAAGUUGGGAGAGCGUCAGACUGAAGAUCUGAAGGUCCCGCGUUCAAUCCGCGGUGGGCGCA
rnacentral:tRNA from 1 species